CACAGACAUCCCAUGUACAUGCUCAGAUCUCUAACUUAAUGUCCUUCUCUAGAGCCCACGGGGGAGAAUAGGGUUAGUCUGUGAGCCUCAGACUCACAGGCGGUUGGGUGCCUUAUUCCAGUCACAGUGAUCACGUACCAGGACCUGGCUUGGCAGACCAGCUGACCUGUGCUGAUGCCACAAACUCCUGGAGUUGCCCCAACAAGGGCCAGCAUGUCAGGUACGGCCCAGAUCAUGGCAGGGCCUUCACCCCAGGCAGCCAGGCUGCCCCUGUAUCCCAGCAUUCCAUAGGCAUCGCAGGGGGCAGGGGGAGGGAGGCAACAGCUGCUGUGCCUACUGUUUCCACUUGGCACAGAAAACCUGCCUUUGCUUUCUGGAGGGCAAGUGCUUUCUACUCAAACGAUGGGACACCACAGAAAACCCAUAUGGAGAUUUUACUUAUUCAAAAUGUAGAACCUGUAAGUUAGAAAUCCUGUGUGGGGCUGGGAUGUGGCUUAGUGAUGGAAGACAGAUCAAAACUACGUGGACUCCAAGCAUGCCUACAAUCCCAGCACUCAGGAAGCCGAGUAUUGUCACGAGUUCCAGACCAGCCUGGACCACAAAGAUCCUGUCUCAAAAAAACCUGAACUUAAAGUAAACAAACUGAGAGCCCGGAUUGCCACAACGUUGGCAUCCAUGUUGAAUUUGCCCAAAUCAGUAGGAACAGACACAACACUAAGGUGGACAACAGAGGUGAAGAGGCACUGACAGAAACACCCUCCAGUAGGAGACCCCAAAGGCACAGCUCUCAGAGAAAGCCUCAGUCCAAAAGCCCAACACUAAAAAUGCCAUCUCUGAACAUUCGUCAAGAGCAAAACUAGAGCUGUGUCUCUAGCACAGAGACCCAGGCCUUGCCUGGCAUGCAGGGCCUGGCUACAGUUCCCAGAGUGGCAACAAAAAACUAACGAGAGGGACAGUGCCACUGUUUGUGGGCUUGAGCAUAUGCCUGCAGUGCCACAGGAUGUAUGUCAGCAGAGCGUACUGUGGGGUCCCACAGGCAAUCUCAGGGUGCUGAGAGACUCUGGCUUGUCAGGUCAGUACGGUUUACAGAGAGAACAUUGCAUGGUGGGGGGCACUGUAUAUGGAGCAGAGGGAGACAAGUUCUCACCUGGGACAAACAGCUGGUCAGUGAUUGUUCCCAAGCCUGUGUCUUUUUAUCCUUUGAAUGUUGAGCCAUGUAAAUGUAUUAUUUAUUUCAAAACUAAAUAAAAUUUACAUGUAGAAACUCAAUUCUCUUCAAUUUGCAGUUUUAACAGUACUUGAGUCAAAUAUCACAAAAUCAACACCAAAAGCAUUUUAAAAAUCCCUUUCACAAACUAGAAGUACUUACACCAUGGUGAGCUAGCAUUGGUGUGCUGCCUGCCUGCGUGUGUGUCUCUGUGAGUGUGCCAAGUCCUUUGGAACUGGACUUAAACAGUUGUGAGCUGCCAUGAGCGUGCUGGGAGUUGAACACGGGUCCUUGGAAGAGCAGCCAGUACUCUUUUUUUUUUUUUAUAAAUUUAUUUUUUUUAAGAUUUUAUUUUAUUGUAUGAGUACACUGUAGCUGCCUUCAGACACACCAGAAGAGGGCAUCAGAUCUCAUUACAGAUGGUUGUGAGCCACCAUGUGGUUGCUGGGAUUUGA
rnacentral:lncRNA from 1 species